AGAGUUUGAUCCUGGCUCAGGACGAACGCUGGCGGCGUGCUUUAUACAUGCAAGUCAAGGAGAACGUUUUCUUCGGAAAACUAUUAAACUGGCGAACGGGUGAGUAACGCGUAGGCAACCUGCCCUAGAGAUUGGGAUAACAUCGGGAAACCGGUGCUAAUACCGGAUAAUGCAGCGGAUCCUUCGGGAUACAGUUGUUAAAGCGGGCUUCGGCUCGCACUUUUGGAUGGGCCUGCGUCCGAUUAGCUUGUUGGUAAGGUAACGGCUUACCAAGGCAAUGAUCGGUAGCUGGUCUGAGAGGAUGAUCAGCCACACUGGGAUUGAGAUACGGCCCAGACUCCUACGGGAGGCAGCAGUAGGGAAUUUUGCGCAAUGGGGGAAACCCUGACGCAGCAACGCCGCGUGACCGAUGAAGCUUCUAGGAGCGUAAAGGUCUGUCGUAAGGGAAGAAAAGUUUGGAUGUAAAUAAUGUUCGAACCUGACGGUACCUUACAAGAAAGCACCGGCUAACUUCGUGCCAGCCGCCGCGGUAAUAC
rnacentral:rRNA from 1 species